UACAGAGGGUGCGAGCGUUAACCGGAAUUACUGGGCGUAAAGGGUGCGUAGGUGGUUGUUUAAGUCUGUUGUGAAAGCCCCGGGCUCAACCUGGGAAUGGCAAUGGAUACUGGACAGCUAGAGUGCGGUAGAGGGUAGUGGAAUUCCCGGUGUAGCAGUGAAAUGCGUAGAGAUCGGGAGGAACACCAGUGGCGAAGGCGGCUACCUGGACCAGCACUGACACUGAAGCACGAAAGCGUGGGGAGCAAACAGG
rnacentral:rRNA from 1 species